GACGAACGCUGGCGGCGUGCCUAAUACAUGCAAGUCGAGCGGACCAAAGGGAGCUUGCUCCUGGAGGUUAGCGGCGAACGGGUGAGUAACACGUGGGCAACCUGCCUGUAAGACUGGGAUAACAUCGAGAAAUCGGUGCUAAUACCGGAUAAUAAAAAGAACUGCAUGGUUCUUUUUUGAAAGAUGGUUUCGGCUAUCACUUACAGAUGGGCCGCGGCGCAUUAGCUAGUUGGUGAGGUAACGGCUCACCAAGGCGACGAUGCGUAGCCGACCUGAGAGGGUGAUCGGCCACACUGGGACUGAGACACGGCCCAGACUCCUACGGGAGGCAGCAGUAGGGAAUCUUCCGCAAUGGACGAAAGUCUGACGGAGCAACGCCGCGUGAGUGAUGAAGGUUUUCGGAUCGUAAAACUCUGUUGUUAGGGAAGAACAAGUGCCGUUCGAAAGGGCGGCACCUUGACGGUACCUAACGAGAAAGCCACGGCUAACUACGUGCCAGCAGCCGCGGUAAAGUAC
rnacentral:rRNA from 1 species